rnacentral:rRNA from 1 species
AGCGAACGCUGGCGGCAUGCCUAACACAUGCAAGUCGCACGGGGGGGCUUCGGCCUCCCAGUGGCGGACGGGUGAGGAACGCGUAGGGACCUGUCGAGGGGUGGGGGAUAACCGCGGGAAACUGCGGCUAAUACCGCAUGACGCCGCGGCGUGACAGCCGGGGCCAAAGGCGAAAGCCGCCCGCCGAGGGGCCUGCGUCCGAUUAGCUGGUUGGCGGGGUAGCGGCCCACCAAGGCGUCGAUCGGUAGCUGGUCUGAGAGGGUGAUCAGCACACCGGGACUGAGACACGGCCCGGACUCCUACGGGAGGCAGCAGUGGGGAAUAUUGGACAAUGGGCGCAAGCCUGAUCCAGCAAUGCCGCGUGGGUGAAGAAGGUCUUCGGAUUGUAAAGCCCUUUCGGCGGGGACGAUGGUGACGGUACCCGCAGAAGAAGCCCCGGCUAACUUCGUG